rnacentral:misc_RNA from 1 species
GUUUCUUUUUGCUUUUGUUUUUAUGACAUACACGUACAUUCAAUGUGUGUGAAAGAUGGCUAAAAACAUAGAGUCUUUCUCUCAGGUUCCAUGAAGGAAAAGCCUGUGAGAAGCCCUACAAGAAGUGCACAAAGGGUGUGAAGGAGAUGAAAGUUGGAAGAGUGCACAUUGCUUUCAGAAAAAGCCAGCAACAUCUCCAAGCAACUUCAGUAAUGAUCCUUCCGCAGGUUCACCUACGGAAA